UGAUAGUGCCUCAACAUGCAUGUUGACUCUCAGCAAUCUUGUCUGAUCUCAGAAGCUAAGUAGCAUUGAGUGUUGCUGGUAUUUGGAUGGGAGGCCACCUAGAAAUACNAGGUGCUUUUGC
rnacentral:rRNA from 1 species